ensembl:snRNA U1 U1 spliceosomal RNA
AUACUUUCCUGGCAGGGAGAUACCAUGAUCACAAAGGUGGUUUACCAGGGCAGGGCUUAUCCAUUGCACUCCAGAAGUGCUGACUCCUGUGAUGUCCCCAAAUGUGGGAAACUCUUGACUGCAUAAUUUGUGGUAGUGGAGGACUGUGUUCACGCUCUCCCUUG